UACGGGGGGUGCAAGCGUUGUUCGGAAUCAUUGGGCGUAAAGCGCGUGUAGGCGGCUUGACAAGUCAGAUGUGAAAUCCCUGGGCUUAACCCAGGAAGUGCAUUUGAAACUGUCAGGCUAGAGUAAGGGAGAGGAAAGUGGAAUUCCUGGUGUAGAGGUGAAAUUCGUAGAUAUCAGGAGGAACACCGGUGGCGAAGGCGACUUUCUGGCCCUAUACUGACGCUGAGACGCGAAAGCGUGGGUAGCAAACAGGAUUAGAUACCCUGGUAGUCCACGCUGUAAACGAUGUUCACUAGGUGUUGGGGGUAUUGACCCUUUCAGUGCCGCAGCUAACGCAUUAAGUGAACCGCCUGGGGAGUACGGUCGCAAGAUUAAA
rnacentral:rRNA from 1 species